rnacentral:rRNA from 1 species
GACGAACGCUGGCGGCGUGCUUAACACAUGCAAGUCGAACGGUGAAGCUCCAGCUUGCUGGAGUGGAUCAGUGGCGAACGGGUGAGUAACACGUGAGCGACCUGCCCCUGACUCUGGAAUAAGCGCUGGAAACGGCGUCUAAUACUGGAUACGAGAAGGGUCCGCAUGGGCACUUUCUGGAAAGUUUUUCGGUUGGGGAUGGGCUCGCGGCCUAUCAGCUUGUUGGUGAGGUAAUGGCUCACCAAGGCGACGACGGGUAGCCGGCCUGAGAGGGCGACCGGCCACACUGGGACUGAGACACGGCCCAGACUCCUACGGGAGGCAGCAGUGGGGAAUAUUGCACAAUGGGCGAAAGCCUGAUGCAGCGACGCCGCGUGAGGGAUGACGGCCUUCGGGUUGUAAACCUCUUUCAGCAGGGAAGAAGCGAAAGUGACGGUACCUGCAGAAGAAGCACCGGCUAACUACGUG